GUCUCAAGUUUCUUUUCUUCAUUAUCAAAGAUAGCAAUCAAAUCCUUUCAUUAUUUUCAUUGAAUUCCUAUAUAACAAAAAAAAUAUCGAUCUUGAAGUUUCAAAAUGAUAAAAGAGGUCUUCUUGUCCAUUUACGUGUUAAGAUAUGAAGUGCGUUAGUCUUCGUACUAUUCAACUUCGUUUCUGCAAUAUAUAUCCUGCAUCUUUGGUAAAUGGCGUUGAGAUAUUAAAUUACCGGAAGCCACAUAUUGAAGGAAGGAAGAAUAUCCUAUAUCUAUCUAUAUAUAACUCGCGGUAAGAGAGAUUCACAAGAUAUAUUGCAGGACACGUAAUUUCUGACACGACUAAAAUCGACUAGAUGAGUCAGCAAUAUACGUCAUUUUUAACAGAGAUAUGUGCAACGUUAUAAGCGUGCGCGUGUAAUGUGUUCGCAAUUAUCAUUGCUGAUUUGCACUUUAUAAGAUUCUCGGAAACCUGGCAUAUCAUUAUGAGACUGUGAGUGUCUAAUCAUAUUACUGAUUACGACUGGAGGUCAUAACGAUCAUUGUCUCUUAUCGACUAUCAUUGAUAUAUUUUUACACAUUCUCUGGAGAAAGAUUAUAUGUAUGAUUACGCUGUUAUGGGGAGAAAGAUGAUACAUGGGACAAUAAUUUACGCUGAGAUAUUACAUGUUUUGCAUUGACGGUUGGUAAAAUACACGUGCUGCCGAUGGUUGAUUACGUCGAUGGCCAAGUAAUGCAAAUUGUUGGAAUCUCUUUCAUACUUUGGAAAACAGUGCUUUUGAUGCCUCUCUCUCUCUCUCUCUCUCUCUCUCUCUCUCUCUCUCUCUCUCUCUCUCUC